AUGGCGCCGUCCGUCCGCGCCACCGUCCUGCUCCUCCUCCUCCUCGCCGCCUCCUCCUCUUCUCAGGCGGCACAAGCGGCGGAGGACGGCAUCCGGGUCCUCUCCGCCGAGAAAAGGAUCGACCUCACCGGCCCCAUCGUCAAGGUCUUCCUCACCCUCAAGGUCCAGAACACCGCCACCGGCGCCGACGCCUCACACGUCCUCAUCGCCUUCACGCCUGCCGAGGCCGACCACCUCGCCAUCGUCAAGGCAACAAGGGCCGAGGGCAAGCGCAAGAAGAAGACCUACAUCCCGCUCCCAGUAUCACCUGCCGACCCCGCCACUGCCGCUCCCAACGGCGCCCGCCUCUACUCCAUCUCCCUUCCCACCCCACUGAAACCCACCGACACAACCACCGUGGAGGUCUUCUACGUGCUCACGCACUCCCUCGAGCCCUUCCCUGCCGAGAUCACCCAGUCCGAGUCCCAGCUCGUCUACUACCGCGACAGCGCCGUCCUCCUCUCGCCGUACCAUGUCCAGGAGCAGGGCACCUAUGUCAAGACGCCCAGCAGCAGGGUCGAGUCCUUCACCAGGGUCGACCCCACCAGCCGCUCGGGCCCUGAUGUCAAAUACGGCGCGUACAGCAACCAGCUCCCCUACGCCUACUCGCCCAUCAUUCUGCAUUAUGAGAACAACCAUGCGUUUGCUGUCGUCGAGGAGCUCGUGCGCAAGGUGGAGAUCUCUCACUGGGGGAACGUCCAGGUCACCGAGCACUACAAGUUGAAGCAUGGCGGUGCCAAGCACAAAGGAGUCUUUUCAAGGCUCGAGUAUCAGGCUAGGCAAUCUAUCAGUGGAGCGUCAUCAUUUAAGAACCUUCUUGCAAGGUUGCCUCCACGAGUUCAUUCAGUCUACUAUCGUGAUGAGAUUGGUAACAUCUCCUCAUCCCAUCUGCGCAGUGAUUCAUACAAGUCAGAACUAGAAAUUGAACCAAGAUAUCCACUGUUUGGUGGGUGGCACUGCACUUUCACCAUCGGCUAUGGCAUGCCACUGCAAGAUUUCCUGUUUGAAUCGGCUGAUGGUCGACGCUUCGCCAACCUUACAUUUGGAUGCCCUCUACUGAAUACUGUGGUUGAUAAUCUUACCAUCAAGGUUGUGCUUCCUGAGGGCUCGAAAAGCCCGCAAGCUGUUGUUCCUUUUGAGACGGAGCAACAUCUCGAGACUAGCUAUUCAUACCUGGAUGUUGUGGGGAGGACGACAGUGGUGAUAAAGAAGAAAAACGUAGUAGGAGAGCACAAUGUUCCAUUCCAGGUGUACUAUGAGUUCAGCCCCAUCUUCAUGUUGGCGGAGCCGCUGAUGCUGGUAACCGCAGUGCUGCUCUUCUUCGCCGCUUGCAUUGUCUAUCUUCACACGGAUCUUUCCAUCGCGAAAUCACAGGCCUCCUCCUGA
rnacentral:rRNA from 1 species